rnacentral:lncRNA from 1 species
AAGUGAGGUGCAGGGCCUGCUCUCUGAAAUGUUGCAGCCAGUGUGAGAUAGAUGAUGAGGGAUGAGUGAAAGGUAGAGCUCCUCCGUGCUCACAUCCUUGGGACCAGCUCAUCUACAACUCCCACAAUAUGUGGGCCGCCUUUCAGAGUACUGCAGCUGGCUAGGGUAGGGUUAGCUCUCCUGCUUUCACACCCCGAGAGCCAGCUCUUCCAGAUGCCCAGUUAAUGGGCUGGGUCAUUUCUGUACAGCUCUCAGACAUCACCAUGUCAUCUCCAGGGCAGCAGAUCAGACCAGAGACAUUCACCUGGCCUUUGGUGGUAACAAACCUUUGUUGCUGCAGGGGGAAGGACUCAGACAUAACCCCCAAGUGGCAGCACAGGACAGGACCCUACCAUAGUUCUAGAUUGGAUCAAUCACUACUCAAUAUUCCUCACUACUCUGAGUUAUCAGUUCUGCCUCUCUUCAAUGUGUCCCAUCCUUCUGUUUCUCUUUCUUUUCCAUUUCUCUACUUUAUUGCUCCACUUAAGUGUUGCCUGAGGUCCCCAAGUGUCUGGGGUUAUCUUAGUAUUGGUUUCAGACAUGGUUGGUUGCAAUCUUAGUAUUGUUUUAAAGCAUGGUUGGUUGCACUAGUAUAUUAUCUUCAUCAUGGGCUCUCACCCCCACCCAAUUACACAUAGCCUCUCUCUUAUCUGCCACCUACAGAUGAGACAAAGAAGCUACAACUGCCAGACCUUUAGGGGUAGGUCUGAUAUUUAUUUUCUUCUAUUGUUUUGGGGAUUUGUCUGGUCUCCAUACCCCAAUAGUCUAUCUUCUUUUUGAUUCAUUCGUUUGGUGAGGCUUUCCCUGAGAUUUUUAUUUGAUUUAUGGAAUGUUUGUUUCUGUUUGAUUUUGAAAAUAUUUCUAUAUCUUUGCAGGACUAUAUUUUUAUAAUCUAUAUUAACUCACUUCUUUCAUUUAGCUGUUUGUAUUUUCUCUGAAUUCAAUGAUGAAUUAUUUUUUUCUACUUUGAUGUAUUUCGGUAUAGCAUAUUCCUUUACAUUACUUGUGGGAAUUUCAUGUAGUUCACACUCCUCUGAGUCCUCGACUGUGGAUUUAGUUAGUGUUAAAUAAGUCAUAUUGCUCUGAGUUUUUAUAUUUUUUUUGUGUCUGUGUUUUUGAUGAAAUUUAUUGUUUGUUAAAUACAAAAGCAAGCAAUAUUUUGUGAGUAUUUACAGUGUUCAAUUCAAAGUGGUUGAGAUGUAAUUUAUUCACAGUAUAUACCAGGCUUGUAGCUAUAUAGCUAAACCUACAGCCUAUGCACUCAUGGGCCUUGUGUUGAUCUCUAACUCUACCACAAGAAUAGAAAAGCAACUUCAAAAAUGAUGAAAACUGUUAACCAUGAUUGGUUUAACAAUGGGUUUAUAGCCAAUUCUACAAAUCACCUCUUCAUCUCAAAUAAUUUGAGGUGAAUAAUGUGGUAAGGAUGGUAGCAUAAAGUGAGUGGCUAGUACUAAAGCAGGAGAGAAAAAUGGAAGAUGAAAUGGUACAUAGAUGUGUGGAGCAGUAAAAAUAGAUCAAAUAGGUAAGACACCUCAGAUAAACUUCUGUAAAGCAAAGGACAAGUCAUUUGAACAAAAGUACAGCCAAUAGUAUGGGAAAAUAUUUUACUAACUCCACAUCUGAAAUAGGGCAAAUAUCCAAAAAAUAUAAAAAUCAAACAGCCCAAUUUUAAAAGGGGAACAGAUCUACACAGAGAGUCUCAAUAGAGAUAACCCAAAUGGCCAAGAAACACUUAAAUAUUCAUCAUCCGUAGUCACCAGGGAAAUGUAAAUCAAAACUGCUUUGAGAUUCUAUCUUCCUCCUGCCAGAAUGGCUAAGAUCAAUAACACAUAAGAUAGUGUAUGCAAGUGAGGAUGUGGAGCAAGGGAACACUCAUCCAUUGCAGCUGGCAGUGCCAAUGUCUACAACAACUAAGAAAAUCAAUAUGGCAGUUCCUGAGAAAGUUGGGAAUCGAUCUUCCUCAAGAACUGGCUACAGUAUUAUUGGGUAUAAACCAAUAGGACACCUCUUCCUACCACAAGGACACUUGCUUAAUCAUAUUCAUUGCUGCUCUAUUCUUAAUUGGUAGAAACUGAAGGAUAUCCCU